UUUCAGCCUCUUCUGGGGGCAGACCUAGUUUUUUAUUCAUUUCUUUGUUUAUUUUCAGAUAUUAAAACCUAGAAAGCUCUUCCACUGACCGGGGACACCACAGGACCUCCUUUUUUUUUGUACAGAUGCAGUGCCCUUCCUCUUCCUCAGUGCUGUUUCCUACUGGACGUCUGCUGGGAUGAGCUGGUUGGUGGCCAUGGUUCAUACAUAAGAGCACAGGGAUACUCUUUGUGGAGGACCCGGAACCAACCAACCUCUCCUCAUUUUUGGCCUGAAGAAGCUGCUAAAAAGAGAAAAUAGAAUCAUAAAGGUUGGAAAAGACCACUAAAAUCAUCCAGUCCAACCACUGACCCAUCACCACCCACUGACUGUAUGCCUGAGUGCACAAAGUAGAAGAAGAACUUGGGAGAAAGCUGAAUAGGGAAGGGAUUCUCAGUUUGGAAUGUUGAUUUAGAACUCAGUCAGCAUAUUCACUGAAGGUGAGGGAGGUUUUAGCCUUCAUAAUGUCUUCUUUUACCAUGUUCAUAAAAUAUUACUCUACUGCAUUCAUUCAUCUUUGAAAACCCGUCUUAAAAUACCAGAUGGAAAAAAAGCUGAUAUCGAUGGAAUUACUUAUAUUGAUUCCCAGCUGGAAGGUUUAUCUGGACAGA
rnacentral:lncRNA from 1 species